UACGAAGGGGGCUAGCGUUAAUCGGAAUUACUGGGCGUAAAGCGUGCGCAGGCGGUCUUUUAAGUCAGAUGUGAAAUCCCCGGGCUUAACCUGGGAACUGCGUUUGAAACUGGAAGGCUAGAGUGUGGCAGAGGGGGGUGGAAUUCCACGUGUAGCAGUGAAAUGCGUAGAUAUGUGGAGGAACACCGAUGGCGAAGGCAGCCCCCUGGGCUAACACUGACGCUCAUGCACGAAAGCGUGGGGAGCAAACAGG
rnacentral:rRNA from 1 species